GAUGAACGCUGGCGGCGUGCCUAAUACAUGCAAGUCGAGCGAACGGACGAUAAGCUUGCUUCCUUGCUGUUGGCGGCUGACGGGUGGGUAACACGUGGAUCACCUUCCUAUAUUACUGGGAUAACUUCGGGAAACAGUAUCUACUAACGGCUCAUAUUUUGAACCGCAUGGUUCAAAAGUGCAACACGCUCUUGCUGUCACUUAUAGAUGGAUCCGCGCUGCAUUAGCUAGUUGGUAAGGUAACGGCUUACCAAGGCGACGAUGCAUAGCUGACCUGAGAGGAUGAUCGGCCACACUGGAACUGAGACACGGUCCAGACUCCUACGGGAGGCAGCAGUAGGGAAUAUUGGGCAAUGGGCGAAAGCCUGACGGAGCAAUGCCGCGUGAGUGAUGAAGGCCUUCGGAUCGUAAAGCUCUUUUGUUAGGGAAGAACAGCAGUGUAAGAAAACGCGGACAUCUUGACGGUACCUAAUCAGAAAGCCACGGCUAACUACGUG
rnacentral:rRNA from 1 species